GACGAACGCUGGCGGCGUGCCUAAUACAUGCACGUCGCACGAGUGGCGGACGGGUGAGUGACACGUGGGAACCUACCCAUAAGAGGGGGAUAACACUUGGAUACCGGUGCUAAUACCGCAUCCUGAUGGAUGGCCCCGCGGUGCAUUUGCUAGUUGGUGGGGUAAUGGUUAACCUAGGCGACGAUCCCUAGCUGGUCUGAGAGGAUGACCAGACACACCGGGACUGAGACACGGACCAGACUCCUACGGGAGGCAGCAGUGGGGAAUAUUGCACAAUGGGCGCAAGCCUGAUGCAGCCAUGCCGCGUGUGUGAAGAAGGCCUUCGGGUUGUAAAGUACUGUCAGCGGGGAGGCGUUACCCGCAGAAGAAGCACCGGCUAACGCCGUGCCAGCAGCCGCGGUAAUAC
rnacentral:rRNA from 1 species